GGUGGCUUAGUGGUUAGAACAUCCACUUUGGAUGCAGAAGGUCGUGGGUUCGAUCCUCGGCAGAGUCA